rnacentral:rRNA from 1 species
GUGCCAGCCGCCGCGGUAAUACCGGCAGCUCGAGUGAUGGCCGAUUUUAUUGGGCCUAAAGCGUUCGUAGCCGGCCACACAAGUCCAUCGGGAAAUCCGCCAGCCUAACUGGCGGGCGUCCGGUGGAAACUGUGUGGCUCGGGACCGGAAGACCCGAAGGGUACGUCUUGGGUAGGAGUGAAAUCCUGUAAUCCUGGACGGACCGCCGAUGGCGAAAGCACUUCGGGAAGACGGAUCCGACGGUGAGGAACGAAAGCCAGGGUCUCGAACCGGAUUAGAUACCCGAGUAGUCC